ACCCCUACUAACCGUUGCUUCGAAAACUCAAAGUAUAACCUCCUUAUUAAGUCUACGACAUAUUAUACUGUUCUACAACCUUCUGAUUAACCUAGGCCUCAAACUACUAAAAAAUAUUUUUAAAAACUAAAAUAACUGGAAUAAACCUCUCAAAAGUUUAGUGUUUUAUUUCAAGCACGUAGGUCGUAGAAUGUAAUUAUAUGAUCGAAGAUAGGGGAAUCAACCUCUAAAGCAAAAACACUUAGUUUCGAUAGUAAAAAGUAUUGUGAAUGAAAUGGUGAAAAUUCAACGCACGUAAGGAAUGAAAUAUCUACUGAAACUUAAUGUAACAUCUGUUAAAGCAUAAGUAAUAACGUACCUUUUGCAUAAUGGGCUAACGAGUUAAUAUGUAUUGCAAGCUUAACUUAUGGUAGGCGUAGUUAAUACGAUUAAAAGUAAUACUUAUUAAACCCGAAGCUAGUCGAUCUAACUAUGAGCAGGUUGAUACGUAGUAGAGGACCGAACCCGUGAAUGUUGCAAUAUUCUGGGAUGACUUGUAGUUAGGGGUGAAAGGCCAAUCAAGACUAGUGAUAGCUGGUUCUCCACGAAAAUUAUUUUAGUAACGACUACGAGAUUUUGUACUUACGGUAAAGUAAUCUUUAUACACAGUGAUUGUAAAUUUGACUAUGUUUCGAGAAACUAAUAAUGUAGGUAUUAUCAAUUCGUAGAUUUAGACAUAUUCGCGCAAAGGUGAUAUGUCAAGAGGGAAACAGCCCAGAUCAUGAGAUAAGGUACCUAAUAACAGUUAAGUAAGAAGGUAUAAAUAUGAGAAACUACUUAAGAGAUAGGCUUGGAAGCAGCCAUUCAUUAAAGAAAGUGUAAAAACUCAUUAAGUUAGUAUAAUAUAACGAUAUUCUAUAUUGAAUUAUAUUUAUUCCGAUAAUGUAGAGGUAUUAAACUGUUAACCGAAUCUGUGAAAUUUUAUUGGUAGUGGAGUUUUCUGUAUUCCGUUGAAGAUUAAUUGUGAGAUUAGUUCGAGGAACCAGUAUUAAUUAUGUUAGCGAUAGUAACGUAAAAAUGUGAUUUUGAGAAUCUCAUUCACCGUAAAUUCUAGAGUUUCACAAAAAGGGAAAUCCUUUGUGGCAGCAAUAUAUUCGUCCUCUGAGAAAAAGACAAUUGUCGUAAGUUUAAUGAGCAUACCACUAAUCCGACUUUACUUUGUAUUUUAGCCCCCGAUAACUUCUUUGAGUAGUAGAAGAGUAUAUGAACUAUUAUAAAGUCUAAGGUUAACAUGUUAAGAGUUUAAACUCUAGAGUACAAUAGUGAACUAGAAAAAUUUUUAGUGGACGUCUAUAAGUUAUUUAGACUGAUGGAUGGUUAGUUAACGAAGACAACCUUUUCCGGUUAGCGUAUUAAAUCUGACACUAGUGAAUGGGUAGAAAAUACUAAGGUGAUAGAAGAAUAUAAUUGAAGGAACUCGGCAAAUUAACCCUGUAACGUCUGGAGAAGGGGGACUCUAGCUUCAUAGAGUAUCUAAAAAGAGGGGACGGCGACUGUUUAUCAAAAACACAGGACUUUGCUAAAUUUAAUAAUGAAGUAUAAAGUCUGACACCUGCCCAGUUCUUAAAGGUGAACAGUUAUAGGUAAAGCCUAUUAACUUAAGCCCAAGUAAACGGCGGCUGUAACUCUGACGGUCCGAAGGUAGCGAAAUUCAUCGGCGGGUAAGUUCCGUCCUGCAUGAAUGGUGUAACGACUGUCCCACUGUCUCCAAUUAUAAUCUAGUGAACCCGAAUACUAGGUGAAAAUGCCUAGACUGAACAGCGGGACGGAAAGACCCUGUGCACCUUUACUAGAACCUUAUAUUACUUUAGCGUUUUAUUUUUUUACGGUAGAUCUGUCUAUGACCGUGAUUAUUAGAAUCUUUAGUUAAGAACUUCAAAAACGACAUAGUAUUAAGUACUUUAGUUCAAAUUUGUAAGGAUGCUAGUUUCACUGGGGCGGUGACCUCCUAAAAAGUAACGGGGGUGGGCAAUGAUUUUGUAAAACAUGUAUACCAUGUGAUCAUUCCAAUGGAUCAAACUUAAUCUGAUUUAAAAACGUACGUGUUUUUAAAGGGUAAAAUUUUUACCUGUCAUAGUGACCCGAUAGUUUUUAUUGAUAAAUCUAUCGAUUAACGGAUAAAAGGUACGCCAGGGAUAACAGGCUAAUGACUCCCAAGAGUUCCCAUCGACGGAGUUGAUUGGCACCUCGAUGUCGGCUCACCAUAUCCUGGUUGAGAAUAAUCUUCCAAGGGUCGGUCUGUUCUACCGUUAAAAUGGUACGCGAGCUGGGUUCAGAACGUCGUGAGACAGUUUGGUCCCUAUCUGCUGUUAAGUAAAAAAACACCAAACCCUUGCUUUAGUACGAGAGGACUGAGAUAGAGUGAUCAAUGAUAGACUAAUUGUCAAAAACUUGGCAAAGUUAGAAUGUUAAAUCGCGACGAGAUAAUUACUGAAGAAUAUUUAAAGUAAGAAGCUCCUUUGGCCGUUUUUUUUAGAAGCAAAUUGAAGAUUACAAUUUUUUAUACACAUAGGCUGAAAAAAUUUCAAUAUUAGGAGGUCUAUGUAAGUAUAUUGUUUAUUAUCUUAUCUUUA
rnacentral:rRNA from 1 species